AUUGAGAAAUUAAUAAGAAAAAAUAAAAUGUAAGUUUGAAUCUUAAUAGGGAUAACCAGACAAAGACUAAAAACAGAAUGUAUAACUUUCAGAACCACAGAUGUAACUUCAAAAACUUAUACAGAAGAUGAAAAGGCAGAUGAAGAAACAAGGAAGUAAGUAGGUACCAGAAUUGUCCCUACAUUACUUCAUUUAAUCCUCACAACAAUCAACAACAAUCAUUGAUGCUUGCAGACAUCUACAAAACCUAUAUGAAUGGGUUGAUUUGCUACUAAACAUCAUGGACACCAUGGACACCCCUGAAAGACGGAGAUUAUAGGCACAGUUAUCCUCCUCAAGAAUUUUACCUUUCUCUUGGGACACUGAUCUCGUGCCCAUCACUAAGCAUGACCACUUUGCUUGCAAAGCCUCACAAUUUAUGAUCAUGGGUA